CCUACGGGGGGCAGCAGUGGGGAAUAUUGGACAAUGGGGGGAACCCUGAUCCAGCCAUGCCGCGUGUGUGAAGAAGGCCCUCGGGUUGUAAAGCACUUUCAGUGAGGAAGAACGCCUGGUGGUUAAUACCCAUCAGGAAAGACAUCACUCACAGAAGAAGCACCGGCUAACUCCGUGCCAGCAGCCGCGGUAAUACGGAGGGUGCGAGCGUUAAUCGGAAUUACUGGGCGUAAAGCGCGCGUAGGUGGCUUGAUAAGCCGGUUGUGAAAGCCCCGGGCUCAACCUGGGAACGGCAUCCGGAACUGUCAAGCUAGAGUGCAGGAGAGGAAGGUAGAAUUCCCGGUGUAGCGGUGAAAUGCGUAGAGAUCGGGAGGAAUACCAGUGGCGUAGGCGGCCUUCUGGACUGACACUGACACUGAGGUGCGAAAGCGUGGGUAGCAAACAGGAUUAGAUACCCCGGUAGUC
rnacentral:rRNA from 1 species